GGAAGCCGGUUUUGGAAUGCGGGGCGCGUAUGAAAAACAUUUUGCCGCUCGGGCGUUCGAACACCUGUCGCUUCGCACUUCGAGUUUAGUAUGUUCCAAAGGCUGGUGCGAACUCAAGACAACAUCGGCGUCAUGAACGGACUCUCGAUUGGUCAUGGAGAAUCCGUCGCAGCAAACAAGGCAAGCUGCUCGUAAUUUCUUUAUUCGUCAAUUGUAAAAAA